GCCCAACGCGGGGCUUGAACUCACAAACCGUGAGAUCAUGACCUGAGCUGAAGUCAGAUGCUUAACCGAAUGAGCUACCUAGGCACCCCUCAAAAAUCAAUGUUCUUUUAACAUCUCACUACCCCAUUUGAUGGUAAGGAUUUUAUCAUGCUUUUAAUUUUGUAUUUCUUACAGAACCUUGGACAGUACUGGACUUGUAAGAGAUGCUGUACCUGUAUGUACCAAUUGCCUGCUUUGGUACUAUAGGCUUAUAUUUUUCCCAUUGCUGUAUCUGGAUCAGCAAGAGGCAAAAAAGGAAACCUGGACCCUCCUUCUCCUCACAGACAUGCUGAUUCAACAACAUGGACCAAUUUCUUUUGUUAGAAAUCCAGAAACCUGUUGAAAGGCUCUUGCCACUGAGAUGAUAGGGACAAAAGCCAAAAUGAAUAAAAUGACACCUUGCUCAUAAUCUCUUCCCCCUACUCCGUGCCACACAAUCAUGAGAAAAACCAGAACUCCCAGCUUCUCCCUAAGAAGGGAAGGAGAGGACUGGACCAUAUGUCCAAAGUUCAGACUAUUUAGGGGGCUGCCCAAGGUACCAAUUACUGUACUGAGUACGAGCACUGAUUGGAAAAGGGCCCAGGUCUGGGAACCCUGAGAAUAUAGUCCGCGGUUUGAACUAGCACGCUCUAUUAGCCAAAGUGCUUCCCCUGGUUCAGCACUGAGCAAGCGAGAACACCCAAAUCCUUCCUUCUCCCUGGGAAGGGAAAGAGUCGAAGCAUGCAAGAGGGAAAGAGAAAAAUAAAACAUAUAUCUAACAUUCAGACUUUUCAGGGAGCUCCCCAAGGGACUGGUUUUUGUCUUGCCUGUCUCUAAGUACUGACAGGAUAUAGUACACUCUGGAUGCCUGGGGACCAGCAUAUGCUGCUUCUUCACAGGAACUACAAGAUAACAGACACCAGAGGGAGCAAGACAUCAUAAACUCCUGAAAAAAUAAACCAACAAAUUCUUAUAAUUAUGAAUUUACAUGGACAAGUUUGGAGAAAAGACACAUCCACCAAAAACUUUUGAGAGGCCCACCAGAAUCUCUAGCUAGGGUAAUUGGUGAAGGUCUUCCCAUAUAUGAAGCCAGUCCAUAGAAACUAAGAAAAAGCACUGUUUUUUCAAAUAUGCAGAUACCCACACUGUUGAGGGCAUUAAACACACACACACACACAUACACAGGAAACAAAAGAAAACACCAAAAGAAAAAGGGGUUUCAUUACCUAAUAAAGAAUUCAAAUUAUGAUCAUAAAGAUAAUUAGUAAGUUCCGGAAAACUAUUUAUGAAUAAGUCAGAAAUUUCCAAAUAAAGAUAGAAAAAAAUACAGAAAUUUUGGAGCUGAAAAAUAAAAUAGCCAGACUGAAUAAUUCACUAGAAAAGUGUAAUAAUAGACUUUAUCAACUAGAAGAGAGAGUCAGCAAACUCGAAGACAGGAAGAACAUUUGAAAUUAUCCUAUCACAGAAGCAAAAACAAAAAAAGAAUGAAAAGGUGUGAAGAAAGCCUAAGGGACUUCUGUGUCUUCAUCAAAUUAAUCAAUACAUGCACUAUAGGAGUCCUAAGAGGGAAAGAGAGAGACAGAAAGGACAAGAGAGCUUAUUGAGAAAAAUAAUGACCAAUGCCUUUUCUCUAUUAAGAUGGUCGAUCAUGUGUUGUAUUUCUUUCAUUUUGUUAAUGUGUUGUAUAACAUCAAUUAAUUUGCAUACAUUGAAACACCUUUGUUCGAAGGAGUAAGUUCCACUCAGACAUGGUGUAUAAUCCUUUUAAUGUGCUGAUGAAUUCAAUUUACUACCAUUUUAUUAAAGACUUUUUCAUUUAUAU